GGGCCGAGCUGCCUGGCAGCUUGGGUUGAACCAGUCAAGCAGGGACCCCGGCUGGCCCGUGGCGUGCACACUUAGGGGCUCCUAUACCGAGUCUUCGCGAUGGGCAGGACUUGCUUUGCUUUCUGCUAACCGCACCGUAGGGAUCCGUCGAUCCGUCCGACCCGUCCCCGUCCGACCCGCCCCAGUGUCUUUGCUCCUGAUGUCUCAGAACAGCUCUGAACAUCCUGUCCCCAGGAACAGUGAACAAUUGCUUGACUCCAAACCUGGAGGAUAAGAAGGAAGGCUGUUUAAUGAUAGUUGAACCUGGGGUGAGAAGAGCUGCUUCCAAACAUAGCACCGAGAAGCCCCCUGUGGGGUGUCCCUUUGCUCCGAACGCCUCUGCAUCCGCGAAGACCAGUCUAUUCUUGAUGCCUCUGAAAAUCUGUCAGGCCUGUCCUCCCUUUGAGGGGAACCGUCUGAUCUCCAAACACUGGCUUUCAAGCUCUUCUCUUUUUCUGUCUUUGCGACCUACCCCAGCUUCUUGAUUCCUUUUCUUUUUCCUUUUUAAGAAACUUACAAGCUGGGUGCCUUGGUACAUGGUGUGCAAAGCCUUCAUAAACUCGUGGACGCAGAAUUGAAAAAAAAAACAAAAGCUGCAGAUCAGAAGCUGUGAGGCCACCAGGGAAAACUGUGGUUAUGGAUGGAACCUCAUCCCAUAUCCAGAGUGGGCUAGAUCACAUCAAUGUCUCCAGCUGACUCAUCACCCUGCUGAUUAAUUCUGAGCCAGUGAGACAGAAUGAGCGAGUGAAUGAGUGAGAAGAGAGAGAGAAAAUCUCAAGCACACUUCGAGCUGGGGACAAAGCCUGACGCGGGGCCAAUCCCAGGACCCCAAGAUCAUGACCUGACCUGAAACCAAGAGUGGGAGCACUCAACCAACUGAGCAACCCAGGCACCCUUUGAUUCCAGUGUUUUAAGAAGAGAGACACGCUGAGAGAGAGAACACAAGCCGGGAGAGUGGGAGAAGGAGAAGCAGGCUUCCCACCAAGCAGGAAGCCCAACGUGGGGCUUGAUCCCAGGACCCUAGGAUUAUGACCUGAACUGAAGGCAGACGCUUGACCUUUGAGCCACCCAGGCGCCCCACCACAAUAAUUUUCAAAACAAAACCAGCCUCUGGAAUGCGAGGGACCCAGUUAGAAUGAAGCUAGGAUUCCUGUUCAGUGGUGUCUCCUCUCCUCUAGAUUAAAUAAAGAUAUUAAAGAGAAACCCUGUAGCUUCACUUCUCUUAUCUUGGGACUAGGAGAAAAGCCAGUCCAAGAAUGAAGCCUAUGCACUGGAGACGUUUCACCAGAGAGAAGCACAGAGAAAUGAAGUCAGAGCCCUGAGCAAACUGUACCUGAAGCUUAUACCACCUCUGGACUACACAGUUAGUUGACUUACUUUCUCAGGAUAAAUCACUCGGUGGUUUUUCAGUUCGUGAAACUCAUGUGUUGCUGGCAUUUUACUCUUUCCCUCUGUACUUCAAAACCUCCAAGCGCGAACCUUGACACUUACAUCUUAUAAAUAGCAUAGAAGAAAACACUGCUUAAGCCUAAGAUUCAACAUGGAAUUCAAACGUGAUAGGAAGGAUGGUAUCGCCUGUGAAACUCGUGGCAAAGAAUUUCUCCUUGGAGCAUCCCUAAACCCUCCUGUCAGCCCCUGAAACUGGACCUGUGCUAUCAGUUUUUUACCCACUGCAAGAUCGGUUGACAGAUCAGCCACCUUUUAUACCAUGAUCUCCCUUCCCCAAGGGAAUGACUGAGGCUAUACUUUGGAAAUGGGAUACAGGACUUCAUAGUAUUGGUCUGGAGGAGUUUUACAAUGGAGGAAAAAAGAACAACAACUUUUAAAGGGACACAACACAGGCAUUUUUGUUGGAAGCCAAGGAUUGGGUCUGUAUUUGCGUCCUGUUCUCUUGGUAGCAACUCUUUGAGUAGCUGGCUCAUAAUAGAUGCUCAAUAAAAGUGUGUUGCAUGAAUGCAAGAGAAAAAAUGAAAGCUACCCAGGAGACGUCGAUAUCCUGGACAUCACUAAGACACAAAGUCUGAUCAGCCCCUGGGGUGGUGUGUUGCACCAUUGGCCAGGUGGGAGCACAGUGUAGCUAAUACUUUGGAAUUUCUACUUGGCCUCUGCUGCCUUGAUUGCUGCCCCUUAAAGCUACCUGGUCAAAUGCGACUGUCAGGUCAAAACCUGAGCCGGUCUUGAUCUGGUGCACUGCUCAGCUCUUCUCCUCCAAAUGCUCUGUUACCCUGGUCGACAGUAGUUCAGUCCACCAUCACCUGUGGUCUCCCUCAAACAAGGGUGUGAGCAUACUUAUCCUCAGAAAGUACCUCUUGUUCCUCUAAAAUUCUAAUUUAACAGAGUGUCCUGUAUUUUCAUUUGCCUAAUCUGGAGACCCCAUCUCCAGCCACCAUGUGAAUGCCUCUCUAUAGAGGUUCUAGUUUUCUGUCUUGGUUGAGAUGAAGAAUGAGUCUCACAGUUGGAAUCUGGCCAUCCCUCGGCUAGCAGUGCUGGGCAAAAGGAGCAUGCAGCCCUGGACAUUUGAGUCGGGGCUGAACGGCCUCAGGACAACCACUGAGACAUUUUCAGGAAAGCAAAGCCACCUGUCAACCUGGAGAAAAGGCAGACAAGCCGGAAAUUACAGGUGGGCUGAGGGAGGGUGAGCCUUCCGUAUAAAGUAUUCAAUUUGUACUCCACUUGGUUUAUUUGUAAGUUACACAGAAAGAGGGUAGAGAAGGACAAGGGACAAUGUUGUGAAUGUCGUCUCAGAGUGGCAGGAAGACAUAAAUGGCACUUCGUGGUAAUAAGACAGGAAAACAAGAAAACCUCUUUUUUGCUCCUUUUCCUGCUUCUAUUGUGUGUGUGUGUGUGUGUGUGUGUGUGAUUUUUAAAAUUUAUUUAUUUGACAGACAGAGAUCACAAGUAGGCAGAGAGGCAGGCAGUGAGAGAGGGGGGAGCGGGCUCCCUGCUGAGCAGAGAGCCCUAUGUGGGGCUUGAUCCCAGGACCCUGAGAUCAUGACCUGAGCAGAGGCUUUAACCCACUGAACCCCCAGGUGCCCCUCCUGCUUCUACUCUUGCUAGGAUCUGCACUCCUGCCCCAUACACGGCUUAUCGUACCGAUAAUGUAUGUCCUUCUUACGAAAGUCAAGGAGUCCAUUAUUUCUCUGGAGUCUCCCAGCCCCAUAGAUAACCCCUAUGGAGUGACUGGGCGGGGUCGUCCUAGGCCACAAGUAAAGAUGAGACUCGCUCCUUUUCCAUUCCAAGUGUCCCAAACGCUCUAUCUUCUCUCUAUAUCCUCAAUAAAC